GACGAACCGAGCGAACGUUGUUCGGAAUCACUGGGCUUAAAGGGCGCGUAGGCGGAUUUGCAAGUCCGGGGUGAAAUCCCACAGCUCAACUGUGGAACUGCCUCGGAUACUGUGAGUCUCGAGGGUGGCAGGGGUAUGCGGAACUAUCGGUGGAGCGGUGAAAUGCGUUGAUAUCGAUAGGAACUCCGGUGGCGAAGGCGGGUUGCUGGGCUGACACUGACGCUGAGGCGCGAAAGCUAGGGGAGCGAACGGG
rnacentral:rRNA from 1 species